CUCCUCGACUCAAGCUGUAAAAUAGUAUAACGGCUGCAGAAUUUCAUGUACGCCUAGAUAAGAAAAUCGCCACCCAAAACAUUACAUAAAGUAGCCUAUGGGCAACGAAAGUGGAAGUGAGUAGGGGGAGGGUUAAGUAGCUAGUUUGGGAAAGCCCCCUACUCUGUUUACUGUACCUGCGGUGCUGCACGCGACCGGCACCUGAGAGCCUGUAUUUUUGCCUCGAGAGACUGUCACGGUUGUCUUGUGUGACUUAAUCGAUGCGCAACUGCUUUGACGUAGUAAGAAAAGUGUAGAGUGCGGUAGAAGCUAGAAUGUCUACGGAAAAGAGAAGUAUUCAGGAGAGAGAGAAGCAGCUAAAGGAGGCAGCAAAGGGGAGCACAUCUUUGCAGAGUUGGUUACAAAGAAGCAAAGCAGCAGCAACCACAAGCCUCCAGACCAGAGGAUAAUGUGGACCAGGAGACACAUAGGACAGAUGAUGAGCCAAGUACAUCAACUGCAGACAAAGACAAAGAGCCAGACCCAGAUGAGAACAGAACAGACUUGGAAAACAGCGAAAG
ensembl:lncRNA